UUGGUGUCUGCCUCCCGCGGCACUGGGAAGGU
rnacentral:piRNA from 1 species